rnacentral:rRNA from 1 species
AACGAACGCUGGCGGCGUGCCUAACACAUGCAAGUCGAGCGCGAAAAGGGCAACCUGAGUAGAGCGGCGCACGGGUGCGUAACACGUGGGUAAUCUGCCUCAAAGCCUGGGAUAACCUUCCGAAAGGUUGGCUAAUACCGGAUAAGCUCGCGGGGUCUUCGGACUCUGCGGGAAAAAGUGGCCUCUAUUUAUAAGCCAUUACUUUGAGAUGAGCCCGCGGCCCAUCAGCUAGUUGGAGGGUAAUGGCCUACCAAGGCGACGAUCGGUAGCCGGCCUGAGAGGGUGAUCGGCCACACUGGAACUGAGACACGGUCCAGACUCCUACGGGAGGCAGCAGUGGGGAAUUUUGCGCAAUGGGCUAACGCCUGACGCAGCAACGCCGCGUGGAGGAUGAAGACCU